rnacentral:rRNA from 1 species
GGUGSUUGCAUCAUGAUUUACAUUUGAGUGAGUGGCGAACUGGUGAGUAACACGUGGGAAACCUGCCCAGAAGCGGGGGAUAACACCUGGAAACAGAUGCUAAUACCGCAUAACAACUUGGACCGCAUGGUCCGAGUUUGAAAGAUGGCUUCGGCUAUCACUUUUGGAUGGUCCCGCGGCGUAUUAGCUAGAUGGUGRGGUAACGGCUCACCAUGGCAAUGAUACGUAGCCGACCUGAGAGGGUAAUCGGCCACAUUGGGACUGAGACACGGCCCAAACUCCUACGGGAGGCAGCAGUAGGGAAUCUUCCACAAUGGACGAAAGUCUGAUGGAGCAACGCCGCGUGAGUGAAGAAGGGUUUCGGCUCGUAAAACUCUGUUGUUAAAGAAGAACAUAUCUGAGAGUAACUGUUCAGGUAUUGACGGUAUUUAACCAGAAAGCCACGGCUAACUACGUGCCAGCAGCCGCGGUAAUACGUAGGUGGCAAGCGUUGUCCGGAUUUAUUGGGCGUAAAGCGAGCGCAGGCGGUUUUUUAAGUCUGAUGUGAAAGCCUUCGGCUCAACCGAAGAAGUGCAUCGGAAACUGGGAAACUUGAGUGCAGAAGAGGACAGUGGAACUCCAUGUGUAGCGGUGAAAUGCGUAGAUAUAUGGAAGAACACCAGUGGCGAAGGCGGCUGUCUGGUCUGUAACUGACGCUGAGGCUCGAAAGUAUGGGUAGCAAACAGGAUUAGAUACCCUGGUAGUCCAUACCGUAAACGAUGAAUGCUAAGUGUUGGAGGGUUUCCGCCCUUCAGUGCUGCAGCUAACGCAUUAAGCAUUCCGCCUGGGGAGUACGGCCGCAAGGCUGAAACUCAAAGGAAUUGACGGGGGCCCGCACAAGCGGUGGAGCAUGUGGUUUAAUUCGAAGCUACGCGAAGAACCUUACCAGGUCUUGACAUACUAUGCAAAUCUAAGAGAUUAGACGUUCCCUUCGGGGACAUGGAUACAGGUGGUGCAUGGUUGUCGUCAGCUCGUGUCGUGAGAUGUUGGGUUAAGUCCCGCAACGAGCGCAACCCUUAUUAUCAGUUGCCAGCAUUAAGUUGGGCACUCUGGUGAGACUGCCGGUGACAACCGAGAAARGGUGGGGAUGACGUCAAAUCAUCAUGCCCCUUAUGACC